rnacentral:rRNA from 1 species
UACGAAGGGGGCUAGCGUUGUUCGGAAUCACUGGGCGUAAAGCGCACGUAGGCGGAUCUUUAAGUCAGGGGUGAAAUCCCGAGGCUCAACCUCGGAACUGCCUUUGAUACUGGGGAUCUCGAGUCCGGGAGAGGUGAGUGGAACUGCGAGUGUAGAGGUGAAAUUCGUAGAUAUUGCAAGAACACCAGUGGCGAAGGCGGCUCACUGGCCCGGAACUGGACGCUGAGGUGCGAAAGCGUGGGGAGCAAACAGGGAUUAAGAA